GGUCAGGGAUGAGCUCGCGGCCUAUCAGCUUGUUGGUGAGGUAAUGGCUCACCAAGGCGUCGACGGGUAGCCGGCCUGAGAGGGUGACCGGCCACACUGGGACUGAGACACGGCCCAGACUCCUACGGGAGGCAGCAGUGGGGAAUAUUGCACAAUGGGCGCAAGCCUGAUGCAGCAACGCCGCGUGAGGGACGACGGCCUUCGGGUUGUAAACCUCUUUUAGCAGGGAAGAAGCGAAAGUGACGGUACCUGCAGAAAAAGCACCGGCUAACUACGUGCCAGCAGCCGCGGUAAUACGUAGGGUGCAAGCGUUAUCCGGAAUUAUUGGGCGUAAAGAGCUCGUAGGCGGUUUGUCGCGUCUGCUGUGAAACCCCGAGGCUCAACCUCGGGCCUGCAGUGGGUACGGGCAGACUAGAGUGCGGUAGGGGAGAUUGGAAUUCCUGGUGUAGCGGUGGAAUGCGCAGAUAUCAGGAGGAACACCGAUGGCGAAGGCAGAUCUCUGGGCCGUAACUGACGCUGAGGAGCGAAAGGGUGGGGAGCAAACAGGCUUAGAUACCCUGGUAGUCCACCCCGUAAACGUUGGGAACUAGUUGUG
rnacentral:rRNA from 1 species